rnacentral:rRNA from 1 species
GAACGGGUGAGUAACGUGGGCAAUCUGCCCUGCACUCUGGGAUAACCCGGGAAACUGGUAAUACCGGAUACGACACUCCGAGGCUUGGUGUGGAAAGUCCGGCGGUGCAGGAUGAGCCCGCGGCCUAUCAGCUUGUUGGUGGGGUAAUGGCCUACCAGGCGACGACGGGUAGCCGGCCUGAGAGGGUGACCGGCCACACUGGGACUGAGACACGGCCCAGACUCCUACGGGAGGCAGCAGUGGGGAAUAUUGCACAAUGGGCGAAAGCCUGAUGCAGCGACGCCGCGUGAGGGAUGACGGCCUUCGGGUUGUAAACCUCUUUCAGCAGGGAAGAAGGACGGUACCUGCAGAAGAAGCACCGGCU